rnacentral:misc_RNA from 1 species
GAUGAAGAACGUAGCAAAAUGCGAUACUUGGUGUGAAUUGCAGAAUCCCGUGAACCAUCGAGUUUUUGAACGCAAGUUGCGCCCGAAGCCUUUUGGCCGAGGGCACGUCUGCCUGGGCGUCACGCAUCGCGUCGCCCCCCACAAUUCUCCGUAAAGGGAACGUGUGUUUUGGGGGCGGAUAUUGGUCUCCCGUGCUCAUGGCGUGGUUGGCCGAAAUAGGAGUCCUUUCGAUGGACGCAUGAACUAGUGGUGGUCGUAAAAACCCUCGUCUUUUGUUUCGUGCUGUUGCUCGCAAGGUAAACUCUUUAAAAACCCCAAUGUGUCGUCUCUUGACGACGCUUCGACCGCGACCCCAGGUCAGGCGGGACUACCCGCUGAGUUUAAGCAUAUCAAUAAGCGGAGGA